rnacentral:rRNA from 1 species
GACGAACCACCCAAACGUUAUUCGGAAUUACUGGGCUUAAAGGGUGCGUAGGCGGUGCGGAAAGUUGGGUGUGAAAUACCUCAGCUUAACUGAGGAAUGGCGCUCAAAACUACCGUGCUCGAGGGAGAUAGAGGUGAGCGGAACUUAGGGUGGAGCGGUGAAAUGCGUUGAUAUCCUAAGGAACACCGGUGGCGAAAGCGCUCUGCUGGACCUAAACUGACACUGAGGGACGAAAGCUAGGGGAGCGAAUGGG